rnacentral:rRNA from 1 species
GACGAACGCUGGCGGCGUGCUUAACACAUGCAAGUCGAACGAAGUGGCGAACGGGUGAGUAAUGCGUAAUCAACCUGCCCUUCAGAGGGGAACAACAGUUGGAAGCGACUGCUAAGACCGCAUCCUGAAGGAGGGGAUUGUGUUUGAUUAGCUAGUUGGCGGGGUAACGGCCCACCAAGGCGAUGAUCAGUAGCCGGGCUGAUGGGAUGAAUGGCCACAUUGGGACUGGUGCCCGGCCCAUACGCCUACAGGAAGCGGCAGUGGGGAAUCUUUCGCAAUGGGCGAAAAUCUGACGGAGCAACGCCGCGGGGGUGAGGACGGCCGUCGGGUUUUAAAUCUCUGUUAAUCGGGACGCGGUACCGGAAUAGGAAGCCACGGCUAACUACGUGCCAGCCGCCGCGGUAAUUC